rnacentral:miRNA from 1 species
AGCAAGGACCACUUAGUCCUGC